UACGUAGGGGGCUAGCGUUGUCCGGAUUUAUUGGGCGUAAAGAGCGUGUAGGCGGCCAAGUAGGUCCGGUGUGAAAACUCGAGGCUUAACCUCGAGAUGUCAUCGGAAACCAUUUGGCUAGAGUCCGGAAGAGGAAAGUGGAAUUCCCGGUGUAGCGGUGAAAUGCGUAGAUAUCGGGAGGAACAUCAGUGGCGAAGGCGGCCAUCUGGACUAACACUGACACUGAGACACGAAAGCGUGGGGAGCAAACAGG
rnacentral:rRNA from 1 species